AGGGCUUGACAUAUACAGGAAUAUACUAGAGAUAGUAUAGCUUUUCGGAGCUUGUAUACAGGUGGUGCAUGGUUGUCGUCAGCUCGUGUCGUGAGAUGUUGGGUUAAGUCCCGCAACGAGCGCAACCCCUGUCCUUAGUUGCCAGCACAUAAUGGUGGGAACUCUAAGGAGACUGCCGGUGAUAAAUCGGAGGAAGGUGGGGAUGACGUCAAAUCAUCAUGCCCUUUAUGUCCUGGGCUACACACGUACUACAAUGGCCGUUACAGAGAGAAACAAUACAGUGAUGUGGAGUAAAACUCUAAAAGCGGUCUCAGUUCGGAUUGAAGGCUGAAAUUCGCCUUCAUGAAGCUGGAAUUGCUAGUAAUGGCAGGUCAGCAUACUGCCGUGAAUACGUUCCCGGGCC
rnacentral:rRNA from 1 species